rnacentral:rRNA from 1 species
GAUCAGCUCGUACUCCGAAUUGCUCUAGAUUANAGUUUGAUCAUGGGCUCAGACUGAACGCUGGCGGUAGGCCUAACACAUGCAAGUCGAACGGCAGCACAGGAGAGCUUGCUCUCUGGGUGGCGAGUGGCGGACGGGUGAGGAAUACAUCGGAAUCUACUCUGUCGUGGGGGAUAACGUAGGGAAACUUACGCUAAUACCGCAUACGACCUACGGGUGAAAGCAGGGGGAUCUUCGGACCUUGCGCGAUUGAAUGAGCCGAUGUCGGAUUAGCUAGUUGGCGGGGUAAAGGCCCACCAAGGCGACGAUCCGUAGCUGGUCUGAGAGGAUGAUCAGCCACACUGGAACUGAGACACGGUCCAGACUCCUACGGGAGGCAGCAGUGGGGAAUAUUGGACAAUGGGCGCAAGCCUGAUCCAGCCAUACCGCGUGGGUGAAGAAGGCCUUCGGGUUGUAAAGCCCUUUUUGUUGGGAAAGAAAUCCAGCCGGCUAAUACCUGGUUGGGAUGACGGUACCCAAAGAAUAAGCACCGGCUAACUUCGUGCCAGCAGCCGCGGUAAUACGAAGGGUGCAAGCGUUACUCGGAAUUACUGGGGCGUAAAGCGUGCGUAGGUGGUUAUUUAAGUCCCGNUUGUUAAAGCCCUUGGGCUCCACUGGGGAACUGCCGGUGNUACUGGNUGACUNGAAUGUGGUCAGGUNCCGGAAUCCUUGUGNUUUCCAGGAAAUNCGUUAAGACGNNNCCCGGGGGGAACCCCCUGGGGGAGGGCGUCUCUCCUGCCCACUUUGCCUAGCCAACGUUGGGCGCACUCGUUCUUUCCUNUUCCCCUUAGAAACNNAGCUGNUGUUUGUGUUUGGCCCUUUGAUAGUUUCCUUGGUGAGCAUCUAAAUGUUGCGCCCCGUNUUUUUGCANCGCGUCUCCUG